AUUGAACGCUGGCGGCAUGCUUUACACAUGCAAGUCGAGCGGCAGCGCGGGGGCAACCCUGGCGGCGAGCGGCGAACGGGUGAGUAAUGCAUCGGAACGUAUCCUCGAGUGGGGGAUAACCCAGCGAAAGUUGGGCUAAUACCGCAUGAGCUCUGAGGAGGAAAGCGGGGGACCUGCGAGGGCCUCGCGCUGGAGGAGCGGCCGAUGUCCGAUUAGCUAGUUGGGGGGGUAAAGGCUUACCAAGGCGACGAUCGGUAGCUGGUCUGAGAGGAUGAUCAGCCACACGGGAACUGGAACCAGGCCAGGCCUCCGAGGGGGGGCGGGGGGGGGGAUUUUUGAACAGAGGGGGCAACCCAAACCCAGCAAGGCCGCGUGAGGGAAGAGGGCAUUCGGUUUGUAAAGCUGUUUCGCACGAAAAGAAGGGGGGGGAACUAAUACCCCUGUCUGAUGAGGGUACCGAAAGAAGAAGCCCCGCCUAACACCGGG
rnacentral:rRNA from 1 species